rnacentral:rRNA from 1 species
UACGAAGGGGGCUAGCGUUGUUCGGAAUUACUGGGCGUAAAGCGCGCGCAGGCGGUCUUCCAAGUCAGUGGUGAAAGCCCGGAGCUCAACCCCGGAACUGCCAUUGAAACUGUUGGACUUGAGUACGAGAGAGGUGAGUGGAAUUCCCAGUGUAGAGGUGAAAUUCGUAGAUAUUGGGAAGAACACCGAUGGCGAAGGCAGCUCACUGGCUCGUAACUGACGCUCAGGCGCGAAAGCGUGGGGAGCAAACAGG